GACGAACGCUGGCGGCGUGCUUAACACAUGCAAGUCGAACGAUGAAGCCGGAGCCUGCUCUGGUGGAUUAGUGGCGAACGGGUGAGUAACACGUGAGUAACCUGCCCUUGACUCUGGGAUAAGCGUUGGAAACGACGUCUAAUACCGGAUACGAGCUAGGACCGCAUGGUCACUAGCUGGAAAGAACUUCGGUCACGGAUGGACUCGCGGCCUAUCAGUUAGUUGGUGAGGUAACGGCUCACCAAGACGACGACGGGUAGCCGGCCUGAGAGGGUGACCGGCCACACUGGGACUGAGACACGGCCCAGACUCCUACGGGAGGCAGCAGUGGGGAAUAUUGGGCAAUGGGCGAAAGCCUGACCCAGCAACGCCGCGUGAAGGAUGAAGGUCUUCGGAUUGUAAACUUCUUUGAUUAGGGAAGAAUCUUUGACCUACCUAAAGAACAAGUCACGGCUAACUACGUGCCAGCCGCCGCGGUAAAAC
rnacentral:rRNA from 1 species